UACAGAGGUCCCAAGCGUUGUUCGGAUUCACUGGGCGUAAAAGGUGCGUAGGCGGUCGGGUAAGUCUGAUGUGAAAUCUCACAGCUUAACUGUGAAACUGCAUUGGAUACUAUCCGGCUCGAGGAAUGGAGGGGAGACUGGAAUACUUGGUGUAGCAGUGAAAUGCGUAGAUAUCAAGUGGAACACCAGUGGCGAAGGCGAGUCUCUGGACAUUUCCUGACGCUGAGGCACGAAAGCCAGGGGAGCAAACGGG
rnacentral:rRNA from 1 species